ensembl:lncRNA
UGAGAAGCUUGGUGGGGAGUAGGUUUUACACCUGAAAUGGCUGGAAGAGAGAGGUAGAGGGACAGUUUAACUUUUUGUGCUUACAGUAAGCUAUCAGAACAAAAAAGAAAGGGAGGAGGUGUAAGGGAAGGUAUUGUAACUAGGCUUCUGUAAAAAGGAAAGGAAUUACUGGCUGUGGCAGUAAAAGCUGUUGUGUGAUAUGUAAGGGAGAAUAUUAAGAAGAGCUUUACUUUCAACUGCAGGACACUGGGAACAAUGCUGGAAGGACAAGCUCAGAAUGUUGCAGCGCCCUGCUACUUUUGGAGGAAUGAAAAUUAUUUCAGGACGUUGCAUACUUGGACACAAUACCUGUUACAGAAACAACUGUGGUCUAAGGUUAUGUGAAAGACUACUGCAGGCAUUAUGCCAGAUGGCAUUGGACAAGUGUCAUGAAGGAAUCCUGCUCCAAGGCUGUUCUUGGUGUUUUGGAUUAAGCUCUUACUGAAAAGGGGCUGAAAACAAGACUGCUGGGAGAGCAAAGAACGGACCUUUGAUUUUUUUUUUUUUUUUUUUUAUUUUUGCCUGCUUAAUUCUAACUCAUUUGUCUCUUCUGGAUCCUGAAUUCUGAGAAGAUAACUGCAGAUAAAAGCUCUUCAGGACAUGUGAAUUGUGCUUGCAGUGUCAGUGAACAUUAGCAGAACAUCUGCUGCAGACUGGACUUGAAGUCAAGGACCAUAUAGCUGGCUGUCAACAGGCUGCGAUUGUACACAGGGGAAAACAGCAAGGACUAGACUGAGUGGAUUCAGAAGAGUACUAUCUGACAUUAGAUGAAGGCAGAAUCAUGGGAAGGUCUGUUUCUAUCUCAUGCAGGUAAAGGAGAAAAUAUUGCCAGAUCUGCACCAUAUGGCAACGGUAGGUGUAAGCUUUCUUUCCACAGAGUCUUUCGUGCCAAUACGAUAUGGUUAUUCGGUAUGUUGAGCUCAGAAUGCAGGUGUUGCACAGGCACUUCAUGCUGGUAGCAAAUGCCCGGUGCAGGGUGCCGCUCAGCAGCACUGCAGCAUGUCAGGGCCCUGCAGCCCCAUGCACAGCAGCAAGGAGCCCCAGGCAGGCAGCACGCCGGUGCUCACAUGGCUGCUGACAGCACUUCAAACUCAACACCACAAUUUUUGUGAAAGUUGCCAUUUGAUUCAAGCCGUUGUAGAGUGAUACAUCAUACUAACAGCCCUUCUCCUCCGCCUGUGUAUCACCCAGCCACAGCUCUGUCUUUGGGCUGUUAUUAAUUUAAGCUUGUUUUGCAAAUUUUGGCCACAAUUGUUUCUUCGUCAUUCACUUGUCAUAACUAAUAAAACAGAUAUACCGCAUUCAUUUGGUGAGUGCCUCCUUUGGGAGCUGGUGGCUUAGUUAGAAGUGAAAUGAUACCUAUUCCGUUGUUCAUUAGCUGAUUUUUUUCCUGCAUCCCUGCACUCUUCAUAGCUAUCUAACAGCCCUGGGGGCUGACCCACAGAUCCCUGUGUCCCUCCUGUUCCCUGCAGGCUCCCUAGAGGCCACUGAGCAAAGCCCAGAUCCCUGAGCCCCCAGCAGCCCUUUGUGUCCACACUGAAGAUCUGAUUUCCCCUCACAAAACACACAUGUAAAGACUUAGUUGGUCACCGGGUUGUCAAGUGUGAAAAAUACUUUGGAACUUGUGGGAAUGGAUGAAGGGAACUGCUCUGUUUCCUUUUCAUUUUGCAGCCUAGUAGACAAGUGGAAGAGAUGGGCAUCAACUCUGCAUUCAGACUGCCUGAAAAUUUAAAUGAGUUUGGAUAAAACUUUGAAAUGGGUUGUUCCAUUCUUGCUACAGCUUCACCAGCUAAGGCUGGUGGUCCAAUAGCGUUCCCAUCUUUGGGGGAAGCGUGAAAGCUUCUGCUUUCAUUUACUCUUUUGUGCAAAAUUAAAUAAAUCUAAUGCAUCCUUUAAGGCAAACAAAAAAGGUUUCUUCCACCUGUUGCUCUUGUUAGGUCCAUUUUGUUUUUAUUUGCAGUUUCUCCCAAUUAAUGCUCAUUUUAUCAGUUCUUUAUGGUUUUGCUCUUUUUUUUUUUUCCUAUUUUGAUGACAUUUUGAUUUGUUUCAAACUGCCCUUUAUUUUCAUUUUCUUUCCAAGCAUGUUGAUUUACGGUCGUUUCUUCUAUUUCUUUUAUGCUUUAAAUGAUCUGUUUGUUUUAUUGCCUUUAUUUGCAUAGCACUUACUUUUCAUGACCUUUUUGUUGCUGCAGCUGCUGCUGCUUCUGGACUGCUGGUGUUUCCUCCUCCUUUGUAAGUGGGAGACACGGAGAGAAAGGAAACCAAAUCCCUAUGAAGAAAUGGGUUAUAGCAACUCUCUGUAUUCCUAUCUAAAGAUUGUAACUGAGCAGCGCUCUUUAGGGUGGUUUAAUUCUUCAGCAGCUCUUCCACAAGCAAAGACAUUUAUAAAGGAGGUAAACAUGAGGACAGUUGUGGAGGUGUUUCUUGAGUCUCUCAGUCACUGAUGAUGCUGACAACUUUGAGUUUUUGCUGCUGGUGUGAAAUUCUGUAUGGAUGUUUAAAAAUUAAUAUUCUUGAACAAAGUAGGAUUUCCUGUAGCAAAGGUUACAGUAUAUUUGUAAUUAAUUAUUGCUGUGAGAGUGUGUUCCCCAGCAGGGGUCUAUGAGUCUGCCAACAGGCAUAUAGAUAUAUGUAUAUUUAUACACGUACCCACAUAUGUAUUUAGAUAAGAAUUACAGUAUUUUUCAUUUGAUAUAUCAUUAUCAUAUCUGCGUUGUUACGGUUAUCUGUUGUGAGGGUAUAUAUGUUUAGUGCCCAUGUCUAUUACACAUUGUUAGUUUAAUGAAGAAUGAUGAUACUAACACAAGAUUAACUAGAUAUGAUCUAGAGCUUAUAAUCUCUUUUUUCAGACUCAGUUUAAAUUUAUUCUACAAAAGCUGAUGUUCAUUCAAAGUAUUAUUAUUGAAACUAUUGCUAUCAGAAUUAUUUCUAAACUUGGUUCUGUGGUUGUCAGUAGAAAAAGUAACUUGCCUUUAGAACUGUUGUUAUUCUAUGUUAUUUUAUUUUAUUUUUUUAAAAGCUCAAUGACAUAUUUAAAUUGGUUCAUUUUCUGGUGCUGUGUCACAAAUUGGUGUUUUGCCAGAAAAACAGGGUAUGUAUCAAAUCACAUCUUUUAUUUUCAUGCUUGGUGAUUUGCAGUGAUCUGUGGACUGAAGUCUGCAUUAAGGCAUGGUUUUGGGAUACUUUCCCUACUUAGAAAGUUUCUUAUUGCUCCUUCCAUCACUGAUGUUUGCACCAUUUUUAUAUGUAUGUGUGCUAGGUAAAUGUAUAUAUUUACAUAUACACACGUGUGCACACCUAUAAUGAGCCAAAGCCAGAACAGCCUCUGUCUCAGCUUGUCUGCAAGUUAUGCACAUUCUAGGGAAUGAAACUUGAAUAAUGUUCAAAGAGAAAGCGUGUGAGUUAGCCCAAGGGCAGAAGCCACAGGUUACAUGAUUUUACAUAAUUUUGGUGGAGGGGGUGGAAAAAAAAGAAUCUCAUGUCAAUAUUACAGGAAAUAUUUUAGAAUGCAUUUAGAAUACAAACAGAAUGUUUGUCCUCACUGAUUUGUGCACGUACUUCAGUACAGUACUUUGUUUUCACCAUGCCAGGAUCCUUUUCCUACCUUCCCUUAAUAUAAUUCAUCACAAAAGGAAAAUAAAAUGAGAACAGUUUUUGUAGCCAUUGCUAGCUUUACUGCUUACUUCAUUUUCAGGGUUGGCAUAGGUAAGUUUAAGAAAGUAGCUUGGAGACAGGUUACUGGAUCAGCCUUGCUUUUUCUCAUGUGGCCAUAUGGCAACCUAGAGUGCUGCUGCAUCUUCAAUCCCAGUCCCAGUUCAGGGCUAGAUAUUUCCUUCAGAUUCUGCUGUGGUUUUCCUGAACCCUGAGCACUCACCAGUAUGGUCCAAGCACAGCAAGAUCUUCAGCACUUGGUUCUAUGGUGGGGGCAGCUACUGCUGCCCAGGAAUAACUCUACAGGGUCAAAAAAUAGACUACAAAUUGGAAAUGGGAAAGACAAUUUGGGUUGGACACUCAGAAGCUCUUAAUAAGACGUGAUUCCUACAUUUUUUUUCUCUGUAGAACUGCUGUUAAGAAAGUUUAAAAAAAAAAAAAAAAAAAAAAGAAUCAAGCUUGAAGGAACCAAGAGCCUUUGUGCAUGAAGAUUUUGCCCUUCACUGGCAAUGCAACAAGAGGGUAAACUUCUGCUGGAAUGUAUCUGCCAGAACUGAGCUUCUAAGAAAGAAUGCAUAUGCCUUACUGUACUCACCUCUACUGUCUGGUCUCCAUGAGUAUUUAUCAAGCAUCAAUGAACGUCAAUGGGUGCCUCUUUUUCCUAAUGGACAAAUUCAAUGACACGCCGUUGCUUCAUCUGCACUUCCAUGUAGAACAUCAUUUUGUCAGGCUGUCCCACUGCUACCAUCUGUUACACAGCAACAACAUGUAAUGGAAUAUAGGCAGGAAGGUUCAACCUCUACUGCCAUACCACCAACAUCUGCCUCUGAUGUUGUGGGCCAAAAUAAUAAAAUAGGAGGCCUCACUUUUGGAGCAGUCCUUGUAUAAAUCAAGAAAAUGUAUGUAUAAAUGUGUAAACUUGAUUGAGCUUCCUUACUUAGAACUUAACAAUUUGAACAAGUUUCUAAAUCUAAGAAUACAUAGAACUACUAGAGUAGCAACCAUUCAAAAUUUCCCUCUCCUUGUUCAAUGCACUGCUUCUGACUUUAUUUAUAGAGUACUGUCCAAGUCUAGCUUUAAAAACUGAAUUAUUAUUCCUCUAUAGGUUUUUGGUGACAAGUAUCAUUAAAGUAUUCUAGAGUUUCAUAUUACUACAUAUCCAUGAGAUGAGAGAACAUUAACAGCUCUUACAGAUGGGAAUAGCAAGAAACUAAAGACAUCUGCCUUCUUCCAGCGCUAAAUCUCAGGUUCAAAGUACCUGUUUUAGACUAUUUAGUUAUACCUAUCACUCAAACAGAUGCAAUUACACAUACUUCAGCAAAUGAAAGCACUAUAUCUCAAGCUAGAACUCCAAAAAGAAGACAAUGAAAUAACUCCUUAAAAGCAUAGCUUGAUGGAUAACCAAUAAAAAUGCUAUGGUGAAGGACAACAAUCCUGUGCCAUAACCAAGAAAACAUGCUUUUAUCUCUCUUGCGUUCCUUUAGAGAAUGUACUCAGUACCUUAAAGUGUCACAUCUGGAAUACAGGGUAAGAAGUCUAAAUAUUAAAAUGCAUAAAUUUUGUUGGAUUGAAAGAAUUUACACCACUAACACUGUGUCCAAGAAUGUACCUUUAGAUACCAAACAUUUAAGACUGGUUGUUUUGUGAAAAAUAUUGAAGUGGUCGUUUGCUAUGAAACAGAAUCAAAAAUGGGCACUUCUAUGAGAGCAUAGAAGCAGCACCUUGAAAAGAGGCAACUGAUUUUAAUAGGAAAGUUCAAAAAGAAAAAAAAAAAAAACCACCAAACUAGGUACUUAAAAAAAGGCCUCAGCAACUGAAGAUCAAUCCCUCAGCCAAAUGCCUUAUCAAUAGUUAUCCAAUCCUGGAAGGCUUCAUGGAGCUUCUCAUUGCUUUACAUGAGAUUCCUCAAAAUAUGGUUUAUGACUACAUUUCCAAUAGCUUGCAGAAGGAUUUGUAAAGCAGCAAUAACACAGGGGCAACAGACUCAUUUCUACUACUAUUCUUUUCCUGAAAAUACAUGUGUUAUGGGAAUAGACUUGUAGUAGUAGAACUUUAAGGCCCAAAUGCUGGUUGGGAUCCAACUACAAUAUAUAAUGUCUCAAGACACUGUGGAAAGAAAGUCCACUAUAAAUAAAUUGAACUGGCAAGGCAAAGAAAACAAAAGAUAGAAAGGAAGCCAAAAGCACAGUGAACAAAGGAACCUGACUAAGCUGUAAAUCAGAUGACUGUCAGUUCUGGGAACAAGCUCUAGGUUUCCUGAAUCCUUAUCUGCUACUGCUGAUGACAUCUUCCAAAUACUGGAUUUUUGGGCAAAGUGAAGUGAGAGGUCCUUAAAAAAAGGCUCAUGGGACAAAGGAGGGAUAAUGUUCAGUCUGAAUUCAGUCAGCUUGCACAUUAUUCCUCAGGAUGAAAUGCUAUUUUCAAGUAAGAAAAGUUAAUGAGAGAUGCUCGCCUUGUUCAUAUACAGAAACAAUCUUUUCACAAGAAUCACAACUGUACCUAUUUUUUCAAUUGAAAACAAGCAAAUUUAGUGUCUGUUUGUAAAGAGCUUCAAUAGUAAUUAGUCAUAAUCUCAGCCCUGAUCAUAUAAUAAUUAUUUUUAUCAUUGCUAAUAUUAAUCAGAAUUUACACACAUAUAUAUACACACACACAGUGACUUAUUAAAUUUCAGCUUUUAGUAAAGUUAUUAGAAUAUUGCAAGAUCUUGCAGCUAUCACAAAUUAAGAUUUUAAUUGCAACCAUUAAAACCAUUACUACUGUAUAGGCUUGUUCUGGUAGUCUGUGUGCCAUUGAUGAUUUAGGAAGAAAAAUCAAAGCUUACCUACAGUGCAAGGAGUAUGAAAAUUAAACAGUUACAUGCAUACAGAAAUUCAAGUGAACAAACAAAUACUUAAGUGGA